rnacentral:rRNA from 1 species
GUUAAGCGACUAAGCGUACACGGUGGAUGCCCUGGCAGUCAGAGGCGAUGAAGGACGUGCUAAUCUGCGAUAAGCGUCGGUAAGGUGAUAUGAACCGUUAUAACCGGCGAUUUCCGAAUGGGGAAACCCAGUGUGUUUCGACACACUAUCAUUAACUGAAUCCAUAGGUUAAUGAGGCGAACCGGGGGAACUGAAACAUCUAAGUACCCCGAGGAAAAGAAAUCAACCGAGAUUCCCCCAGUAGCGGCGAGCGAACGGGGAGCAGCCCAGAGCCUGAAUCAGUAUGUGUGUUAGUGGAAGCGUCUGGAAAGGCGCGCGAUACAGGGUGACAGCCCCGUACACAAAAAUGCACAUGCUGUGAGCUCGAUGAGUAGGGCGGGACACGUGGUAUCCUGUCUGAAUAUGGGGGGACCAUCCUCCAAGGCUAAAUACUCCUGACUGACCGAUAGUGAACCAGUACCGUGAGGGAAAGGCGAAAAGAACCCCGGCGAGGGGAGUGAAAAAGAACCUGAAACCGUGUACGUACAAGCAGUGGGAGCACGCUUAGGCGUGUGACUGCGUACCUUUUGUAUAAUGGGUCAGCGACUUAUAUUCUGUAGCAAGGUUAACCGAAUAGGGGAGCCGAAGGGAAACCGAGUCUUAACUGGGCGUUAAGUUGCAGGGUAUAGACCCGAAACCCGGUGAUCUAGCCAUGGGCAGGUUGAAGGUUGGGUAACACUAACUGGAGGACCGAACCGACUAAUGUUGAAAAAUUAGCGGAUGACUUGUGGCUGGGGGUGAAAGGCCAAUCAAACCGGGAGAUAGCUGGUUCUCCCCGAAAGCUAUUUAGGUAGCGCCUCGUGAAUUCAUCUCCGGGGGUAGAGCACUGUUUCGGCAAGGGGGUCAUCCCGACUUACCAACCCGAUGCAAACUGCGAAUACCGGAGAAUGUUAUCACGGGAGACACACGGCGGGUGCUAACGUCCGUCGUGAAGAGGGAAACAACCCAGACCGCCAGCUAAGGUCCCAAAGUCAUGGUUAAGUGGGAAACGAUGUGGGAAGGCCCAGACAGCCAGGAUGUUGGCUUAGAAGCAGCCAUCAUUUAAAGAAAGCGUAAUAGCUCACUGGUCGAGUCGGCCUGCGCGGAAGAUGUAACGGGGCUAAACCAUGCACCGAAGCUGCGG